UGCAGUGCCAUAUCUCCCUGCAGUUCUCACCUGGUUUCCCACUGAAGAUAAGCAGGGUUGAGCCUGGCCAGUACCUGGAUGGGAGAACUAUCGGAGAAAACUAAGGUUGCUGCUGGAA
rnacentral:rRNA from 1 species